UACGUAGGGUGCGAGCGUUGUCCGGAAUUAUUGGGCGUAAAGAGCUUGUAGGCGGUUUGUCGCGUCUGCUGUGAAAAUCCGGGGCUCAACUCCGGACUUGCAGUGGGUACGGGCAGGCUAGAGUGUGGUAGGGGAGACUGGAAUUCCUGGUGUAGCGGUGAAAUGCGCAGAUAUCAGGAGGAACACCGGUGGCGAAGGCGGAUCUCUGGGCCAUUACUGACGCUGAGGAGCGAAAGCGUGGGGAGCGAACAGG
rnacentral:rRNA from 1 species